rnacentral:rRNA from 1 species
UACACACGCCCGUCACGUCAUGGGAGUCGGUAACACCUGAAGUCGUUGAGCUAACCGCAAGGAGGCAGACGCCCAAGGUGGGACUGGCGACUGGGACG